rnacentral:rRNA from 1 species
CCUACGGGAGGCAGCAGUGAGGAAUAUUGGUCAAUGGGCGCGAGCCUGAACCAGCCAAGUAGCGUGAAGGAUGACUGCCCUACGUGUUGUAAACUUCUUUUAUAAAGGACUAAAGUGAGGCACGUGUGCCUUUUUGUAUGUACUUUAUGAAUAAGGAUCGGUUAACUCCGUGCCAGCAGCCGCGGUAAUACGGAGAAUCCGAGCGUUAUCCGGAUUUAUUGGGUUUAAGGGGAGUGUAGCUGGGGAGUUAAGUCAGCUGUGAAAGUUUCCGGCUCAACGGGGAGAAGUCCCAUUAUACUGGGCAGGCUGGAAUGCGGAUGCCGUGGGAGGAAUGUGGGGUGUAGCGGUGAAAUGCAUAGAUAUCACACAGAACACCGAUUGCGAAGGCAUCUCACGAAGCCGCGAUUGACGCUGAUGCACGAAAGCGUGGGUAUCAAACAGGAUUAGAUACCCUUGUAGUC